GACAGAGGGUGCAAACGUUGUUCGGAAUUACUGGGCGUAAAGCGCGUGUAGGCGGCUGUGCAAGUCGGAUGUGAAAUCCCGUGGCUCAACCACGGAAGUGCACCUGAAACUGCGCAGCUGGAGUCUCGGAGAGGAAGGUGGAAUGCUUGGUGUAGAGGUGAAAUUCGUAGAUAUCAAGCGGAACACCGGUGGCGAAGGCGGCCUUCUGGACAGUGACUGACGCUGAGACGCGAAAGCGUGGGGAGCAAACAGG
rnacentral:rRNA from 1 species